rnacentral:rRNA from 1 species
UACGGAGGUGGCAAGCGUUGCUCGGAAUCACUGGGCGUAAAGGGCGCGUAGGCGGGGAGGUAAGUCGGGUGUGAAAUCCCUCGGCCCAACCGAGGAACUGCGCCCGAGACUGCUUCUCUUGAGUCCCGGAGAGGAAGGUGGAAUUCCCGGUGUAGCGGUGAAAUGUGUAGAGAUCGGGAGGAACACCGGUGGCGAAGGCGGCCUUCUGGACGGUGACUGACGCUGAGGCGCGAAAGCCAGGGGAGCAAACGGG